UACGUAGGGUGCGAGCGUUGUCCGGAAUUAUUGGGCGUAAAGGGCUCGUAGGCGGUUUGUCGCGUCGGGAGUGAAAAUCCAGGGCUUAACUCUGGACUGGCUUUCGAUACGGGCAGACUAGAGGUAUGCAGGGGAGAACGGAAUUCCUGGUGUAGCGGUGAAAUGCGCAGAUAUCAGGAGGAACACCGGUGGCGAAGGCGGAUCUCUGGGCCAUUACUGACGCUGAGGAGCGAAAGCGUGGGGAGCGAACAGG
rnacentral:rRNA from 1 species